AAUCAACGCUGGCGGCGUGCCUCAGACAUGCAAGUCGAACGAUUAAAGCUCUCUUCGGAGAGUGUAUAGAGUGGCGCACGGGUGAGUAACACGUAAGUAAUCUACCUUUGAGUGGGGAAUAACCCGGGGAAACCCGAGCUAAUACCGCAUAAUGCAGCGGCACCGCAAGGUGACAGUUGUUAAAGGAGCAAUCCGCUUAAAGAGGAGCUUGCGGCAGAUUAGCUAGNGGUAAGGUAAUGGCUUACCAAGGCUUCGAUCUGUAUCCGGCCUGAGAGGGCGGUCGGACACACUGACACUGAAUAACGGGUCAGACUCCUACGGGAGGCAGCAGUCGGGAAUUUUGGGCAAUGGGCGAAAGCCUGACCCAGCAACGCCGCGUGAAGGAUGAAGUAUUUCGGUAUGUAAACUUCGAAAGAAUGGGAAGAAUCAAUGACGGUACCAUUUAUAA
rnacentral:rRNA from 1 species